UGGCGGUGAGAUUCGAUCUCAGGACCUGUCUCCUUUGUUUUCUCUGAUACCAUGACCAGCUUUACAUGAAUAAGUGAAAAACUAAACAUGCACACAAUUAAGGGUGGUUGGGUCGGGCAAACAUUUGCCCUUGCUACUUGCAAUGACUCUGGUGGCAGGAAGACUAGGAUUAGGCGUUCGAAAGAAGAGAGGAAGUCUAUGGUUGAAACUUUUAUAAAGAAAUAUCAGAAGUCAAAUGAUGGGAAUUUCCCAUCACUUAAUUUGACGCACAAGGAAGUUGGUGGCUCUUUCUACACAGUACGAGAACUAGUUCGCGAGAUAAUUCAGGAAAAUAGAGUUCUAGGUCCAGCUAAGUUAUCUCCUGAAGAGCAGAACAAUAUCAUGUUUGCAGAAGAAUAUCCACUAGGAUCCAUAUCAACUGAACCGCAAAGUUUAUCUUUGUCUGGUGAGACCCAUGUUAUGUCAAGUUUUGCGCCCAACCAUUCCAUGGGUAAAAGUGAAGAAGCUGAUUUUGGUGUGAAUAGACAGCUUGAUAUGAUGGUUGCUGAUGGACUACAAACUAGCACAAGUGACAUUUCCGAGAGGAUCAAACAGUCUAAUGAAUCACACAUAAUUGAUUCUGAAUCUGAUCAUCAAAAAAACAAGGAUGAGGUUUUGCAUUCUAGUGGGAUUAAUGGAGUUGACCAUGAAAUGUUCAAUGAACAAAUGGCUGGUGACUCUGAGACAACCAAAGAAACUGAAAUCUCUGGUAAAUCUGACUUGCUCAACACCCUCUCUUUCAAGCAUCAAAAUACCAAUGCACAAGUUUUAGAUUCUACUGAGAUCAUCUCUGAAAGUGUGAAUGUGAGUCUCCUCUCUGGGGUUGAUGCUUGUCGUCCUACAGUUGAAAACAAUGGAACAUAUGGAGAACCAAUAUCUACAGAGUUGGUGGUAGGAGAGAAUGUAGAUGUUGAAGGUGGAUUGAGUGACCUCGAAGUAUCAAAAGCUGGAAUACCACUUAAAACGUCAGAAUUACUGGUGGAGAAGUUUCCCCUGCGACCCAUUUCUAAGAAAAUCAAUGAUUUGGAUUCAGGAUUAAAUGAAACAACUAGUGUAGCAAAAACAUUGGAAGAAAUAGAACAUGAACACGACAGGAUAACCUCAUUGGAAAAAGCUGCAGAACAUAUAACUGAGCCAGUUGAUAUGAUGAUAGCUGAUCGAACAACAGAAAAGUCGAGUAAACUGUUGAACGAGAAAGCAGAGGCGAAAGCUGGAGAGGCAUCAUUGGAAAUUUCAACUUCUUCAGAAGGAGUGGCCAUUGCCACUGAUGUAGGAGUCAAGGCUUCAUCAACUUUAAGUGAGACAGUUAAUGCUUCUUGCCCAAUGCCUAAUGAGACUGUUGGUAGCAGUACUAACAGCGCCAGCGGUACUUCUAAGAAACCAGCUGCGGACGAGUUGAUUGAAGAUAAAGGCAAAGCCAGCAUUCAACAUAGUAGCAACCAUCAGAAAGGAGUCAAUCCUCCACUAGACAGAAUUCAUCUUGAAACAUGGAAAGACACUUCAACAAAAUCCGGUGAACGUGAAACAAAUCCAUUCCUUGCUUUAUUGAAGGCAUGUGUCACAGCUUUUGUUAAAUUCUGGACUGAAGAAUAGCUUCUUUGCUUUUCCUUUGAGUGCUUUGAAUCUGGCUAUAGAUCCAGCUGCUGCUGCUGAGUGAUAUUCAGUACAUGGGGGAACACUUACUCGAAUUAUAUCAUUUCGGAGCUGCAAUGGAAGUUACAUUCGCUACCACAGGGGAAACCUCUCAACCAAAAUCUCAACGUUUUCGAUGAUCUCUUAGUUGUAUGAUAGAACUUGUGCUAGUUGUGGUUUAGCAAGUAUUUUUUAGAUGGAUUUAUCACAUUGAAUGAAUGAACAUGUCGCUUGUGAAUUCCAGAUAUAAUAUAUGAUAGGUUUCACUGUUCAAUG
rnacentral:misc_RNA from 1 species